GCCGCCAUGGUGAAAUUGGUAGACACGCUGCUCUUAGGAAGCAGUGCGAGAGCAUCUCGAUUCAAAUCCGAGUGGCGGCA
rfam:Picea glauca, whole genome shotgun sequence.